UACAGAGGUCCCAAGCGUUGUUCGGAUUCAUUGGGCGUAAAGGGUGCGUAGGCGGCGCGGUAAGUCGGGUGUGAAAUCUCGGAGCUUAACUCCGAAACUGCAUUCGAUACUGCCGUGCUUGAGGACUGGAGAGGAGACUGGAAUUUACGGUGUAGCGGUGAAAUGCGUAGAUAUCUGGAGGAACACCGGUGGCGAAGGCGGCGAUCCUGGACCAACACUGACGCUGAGGAGCGAAAGCGUGGGGAGC
rnacentral:rRNA from 1 species